rnacentral:lncRNA from 1 species
CUGAUGAAUAUUCUUAUGUUCAAAGCAAGCAUGAACCUGAUCCUGAUGAUUCUCAAAAUAAUAACCUUGGGCUGAUGGAGACCUUGAACAAUUUGAUUAAGUUGGGCAAGACCAUUGAUGAACCUGAUCCAGAUGACUCAGAAGUAAAAGUAGGAGAUGGAAACAUCCAGGGACCCAAUCAGGACAAUUCUUUAAAGAUUAGAAGCAGGAAAGGCCAAGCCCAUCUAGAUAAGGUUUAUGGAGAACCUGAUCCUGAUGAAUCUCAAGCUGACAGAACUAUGCAGGUAGAGCCUGACCCUGAUGAUGAUUUGGCAGCCUCACAUGAAAUUUCAAGUAUGAAGAUUGAUGAAAGCAUGAUCAUUGAUGAACCUGAUCCAGAUGACUCAUAUGCAAAACAGAGCAAUUCACGACAUAGGAACAUCAAAGGAGCAGAUCAGAGCAAUACUCCUCUGACAGAAAGCAUAGAAGAUGCAGCCUGUCCAA